rnacentral:rRNA from 1 species
GACGGAGGAUGCAAGCGUUAUCCGGAAUGAUUGGGCGUAAAGCGUCCGCAGGUGGCAGUUCAAGUCUGCUGUCAAAGACCGGGGCUUAACUUCGGAAAGGCAGUGGAAACUGAACAGCUAGAGUAUGGUAGGGGCAGAGGGAAUUCCUGGUGUAGCGGUGAAAUGCGUAGAUAUCGGGAGGAACACCAAUGGCGAAGGCAGCUCGCUGGGACGGUACUGACGCUGAGACGCGAAAGCGUGGGGAGCAAACAGG